rnacentral:rRNA from 1 species
UACGGAGGGAGCUAGCGUUGUUCGGAUAUACUGGGCGUAAAGCGCACGUAGGCGGCGCAGCAAGUCAGGGGUGAAAUCCCGGAGCUCAACUCCGGAACUGCCUUUGAAACUGCAGUGCUAGAAUCCUGGAGAGGCGAGUGGAAUUCCGAGUGUAGAGGUGAAAUUCGUAGAUAUUCGGAAGAACACCAGUGGCGAAGGCGGCUUUUUGGUCUGUAACUGACGCUGAGGCGCGAAAGCGUGGGGAGCAAACGGG